rnacentral:rRNA from 1 species
GACGAACGCUGGCGGCGUGCUUAACACAUGCAAGUCGAACGGAAAGGCCCUGCUUUUGUGGGGUGCUCGAGUGGCGAACGGGUGAGUAACACGUGAGUAACCUGCCCUUGACUUUGGGAUAACUUCAGGAAACUGGGGCUAAUACCGGAUAGGAGCUCCUGCUGCAUGGUGGGGGUUGGAAAGUUUCGGCGGUUGGGGAUGGACUCGCGGCUUAUCAGCUUGUUGGUGGGGUAGUGGCUUACCAAGGCUUUGACGGGUAGCCGGCCUGAGAGGGUGACCGGCCACAUUGGGACUGAGAUACGGCCCAGACUCCUACGGGAGGCAGCAGGGGGGAAUAUUGCACAAUGGGCGGAAGCCUGAUGCAGCAACGCCGCGUGCGGGAUGACGGCCUUCGGGUUGUGAACCGCUUUCGCCUGUGACGAAGCGUGAGUGACGGUAAUGGGUAAAGAAGCACCGGCUAACUACGUG